AGCACAAUACUGGAUCAUAUGGUAAGAGUAUGUUUAGUUUUUUAAGAAACUGCCACAUUGCCUUCCAAAGUGACUGUACCAUUUUGCAUUCCCACCAGCAAU
rnacentral:pre_miRNA from 1 species